CCGGAUCUCAAACCCCCCUGGUUCUCCCGCUGGGUCUCCUUCUCUUCCUUCCCAGUCGGGGUAGCCGGGCCCCCUCUGGACCCUGCGUCGCACUGCGGACCUGUCUGGUGACCUGAUGGGGUCCAAAAUUGCCCCUCUUCCCCACUUGCCCCCUCCUGCCAUCCGCCUAGACCUCAGCGGCUCGUGUGCAAACCCACCUACCUUCCAGAGGGCCAUUUCUGGAGCAUGGUGAACACUAUCGAGCCCCUAGGUGGCAGCAAAGGCCCGGGAAAGUUGUCCCAAAAAGGUCCCUUCGUUCCGCUCUAAUCCCAGAAAGGCUGGGAAGGAUGGAGUCACUUCUAAGAGGAGAAAAUUGAAGUCCAGUGCGUCAGGAACAUGCUCACGUCACGCAGCGAUUUGAACUCUAACUUCCUGCCCCAGAAGAAGAGGAGACAAGGCAGAAACAGGAGAGACUAACAGGGAGAGUCCAUAGAAAGUGAUGGCUCAGAGUACAAAAGCACUGAGAUCUGCCGUCCCAACGGUGUGACACUGGAAGCCUCACGUCUCUGAGGCUCUAUUUCCUUACCUGUAGAAUUAGGGACAAGAAGGACCCCUGCUUCAUCGUUUGUUUUGAGGAUUAAUGAGAUGCUGCAUGGAAAUCACUUUGCACAGUGUCUGGCAACUAUUAAGUGCUCAGUAAAUAGUCAAUGAUUUAAUAAAGUAAAGCAGCGUUCCACAGGCCACCAAGACAACACAUAGCCAGGAUCUGAGUGUGAUGUUCUUUUUUAAUGUAUCAACUCGGCCAAGUUACACUCCUGUUAUUCAAUCAAGCACUAAUCUAGAUAUUGUGAUGAAGGUAUUUUGUAGAUAUAAUUAAAUAAAUUGACUUUAAAGGAGAUUAUUCUAGAUAAUCUUGGUAGGGCUGAUUCAAUCAGUUAAAAGACCAUAAGAUCAGAGCUGAGGGUUCCCUGAGGAAGAAAUUCUGCCUGUGGACAGCAGCUUUUGCCACUGGCAAGAGUUCCAGCCUGUACCUAAUGAUUUCAGACUUGCCUAGCCAGCCCCACAGUCAUGAGCCAACUCCUUGCAGUAAAUGUCUUCAUAUGCA